rnacentral:rRNA from 1 species
UACGUAGGGUGCAAGCGUUGUCCGGAAUUAUUGGGCGUAAAGAGCUCGUAGGCGGUUUGUCGCGUCUGCUGUGAAGACUCGGGGCUUAACCCUGGACCUGCAGUGGGUACGGGCAGACUGGAGUGCGGUAGGGGAGAUCGGAAUUCCUGGUGUAGCGGUGAAAUGCGCAGAUAUCAGGAGGAACACCGGUGGCGAAGGCGGAUCUCUGGGCCGUAACUGACGCUGAGGAGCGAAAGCAUGGGGAGCGAACAGG